rnacentral:rRNA from 1 species
ACCCGCUGAACUUAAGCAUAUCAAUAAGCGGAGGAAAAGAAACCAACAGGGAUUGCCUCAGUAACGGCGAGUGAAGCGGCAACAGCUCAUAUUUGAAAUCUGGCCUCGCGGCCCGAGUUGUAAUUUGUAGAGGAUGCUUCGAGCAUGUGUGCUGGGCUCAGUUCCUUGGAACAGGACGUCGUAGAGGGUGAGAAUCCCGUAUGCGCCCAGGUGCCUACGCUCAUGUGAAGCUCCAUCUACGAGUCGAGUUGUUUGGGAAUGCAGCUCAAAAUGGGUGGUAAAUUUCAUCUAAAGCUAAAUAUUGGCCAGAGACCGAUAGCGCACAAGUAGAGUGAUCGAAAGAUGAAAAGCACUUUGGAAAGAGAGUUAAACAGUACGUGAAAUUGUUGAAAUGGAAGCGCUUGCAAUCAGACUUGCGCGCGGCCGAUCAUCCGGUGUUCUCACCGGUGCACUCGGUCGUGCUCAGCCCAGCAUCGGUUUCGGUGGUUGGAUAAAGGCCCUAGGAAUGUAGCUUCUCUCGCGGGAGUGUUAUAGCCUAGGGCGCAAUGCAGCCUCACCGGGCCCGAGGGACGCGACUUCGGCUAGGAUGCUGGCGUAAUGGUUGUAAGCGACCCGUCUUGAAACACGG